GACGAACGCUGGCGGCGUGCUUAACACAUGCAAGUCGAACGGAAAGGCCCUGCUUUUGUGGGGUGCUCGAGUGGCGAACGGGUGAGUAACACGUGAGUAACCUGCCCUUGACUUUGGGAUAACUUCAGGAAACUGGGGCUAAUACCGGAUAGGAGCUCCUGCUGCAUGGUGGGGGUUGGAAAGUUUCGGCGGUUGGGGAUGGACUCUCGGCUUAUCAGCUUGUUGGUGGGGUAGUGGCUUACCAAGGCUUUGACGGGUAGCCGGCCUGAGAGGGUGACCGGCCACAUUGGGACUGAGAUACGGCCCAGACUCCUACGGGAGGCAGCAGUGGGGAAUAUUGCACAAUGGGCGGAAGCCUGAUGCAGCAACGCCGCGUGCGGGAUGUCGGCCUUCGGGUUGUAAACCGCUUUCGCCUGUGACGAAGCGUGAGUGACGGUAAUGGGUAAAGAAGCACCGGCUAACUACGUG
rnacentral:rRNA from 1 species